UACGUAGGGUGCGAGCGUUGUCCGGAAUUAUUGGGCGUAAAGGGCUCGUAGGCGGUUUGUCGCGUCGGGCGUGAAAACCUUGGGCUUAACUCAGGGCUUGCUUUCGAUACGGGCAGACUAGAGGUAUGCAGGGGAGAACGGAAUUCCCGGUGUAGAGGUGAAAUUCGUAGAUAUCGGGAGGAACACCGGUGGCGAAGGCGGCGACCUGGGUAGAUACUGACGCUGAGGUGCGAAAGCGUGGGGAGCAAACAGG
rnacentral:rRNA from 1 species